rnacentral:rRNA from 1 species
GAUGAACGCUGGCGGCGUGCUUAACACAUGCAAGUCGAACGGAAAGGCUCCUGCUUGCAGGGGUACUCGAGUGGCGAACGGGUGAGUAACACGUGGGUGAUCUGCCCUGCACUUCGGGAUAAGCCUGGGAAACUGGGUCUAAUACCGGAUAGGACGAUGGUUUGGAUGCCAUUGUGGAAAGUUUUUUCGGUGUGGGAUGAGCUCGCGGCCUAUCAGCUUGUUGGUGGGGUAAUGGCCUACCAAGGCGUCGACGGGUAGCCGGCCUGAGAGGGUGUACGGCCACAUUGGGACUGAGAUACGGCCCAGACUCCUACGGGAGGCAGCAGUGGGGAAUAUUGCACAAUGGGCGCAAGCCUGAUGCAGCGACGCCGCGUGGGGGAUGACGGCCUUCGGGUUGUAAACUCCUUUCGCUAGGGACGAAGCGCAAGUGACGGUACCUGGAGAAGGAGCACCGGCUAACUACGUG